GCGACGUGGGCGGUUCGCUGCCCGCGACGUUGUGAGAAGUCCACUGAACCUUAUCAUUUAGAGGAAGGAGAAGUCGUAACAAGGUUUCCGUAGGUGAACCUGCGGAAGGAUCAUUG
rnacentral:rRNA from 1 species